rnacentral:rRNA from 1 species
UACGGAGGGUGCAAGCGUUGUCCGGAUUUAUUGGGUUUAAAGGGUGCGUAGGCGGCCCUGUAAGUCAGUGGUGAAAUACUGCAGCUUAACUGUAGCAUUGCCAUUGAUACUGUAGGGCUUGAGUACAGAUGAGGUAGGCGGAAUUGAUGGUGUAGCGGUGAAAUGCAUAGAUACCAUCAAGAACACCGAUUGCGAAGGCAGCUGACGAAAACUAUAACUGACACUGAGGCUCGAAAAGUGCGGGGAUCAAAACAGG